CCGGAUAUAUAAAACUCAUUACUUAUCCAUAGAAAGAAAUCAAGAAAAUCUAUGGCAACUUUUUUCCAAGAUAUCAAGAACAAAUUUCUUGAUCUGAUUAAAUUCCUUGUAUCUUUCGGUAAAGAGUGGAGAUGAAGAAGAUAAAGGAGCUGUACCGCCACAAGGAAAAGCAAGACGUCCAGCACCACCAGGAAAACAUAAACCUCCCCUUUUUCAGACUGGCAGCGAUAAUUCCUAGCUGAAAAAAAAAAAAAAAAAAAAAAAACAAAUUUGUUGAUUUUGAAGAAU